rnacentral:rRNA from 1 species
CCUACGGGAGGCAGCAGUGGGGAAUAUUGGACAAUGGGGGAAACCCUGAUCCAGCGACGCCGCGUGAGUGAAGAAGUAUUUCGGUACGUAAAGCUCUAUCAGCAGGGAAGAAAAUGACGGUACCUGACUAAGAAGCCCCGGCUAACUACGUGCCAGCAGCCGCGGUAAUACGUAGGGGGCAAGCGUUAUCCGGAUUUACUGGGUGUAAAGGGAGCGUAGACGGCCGCGCAAGGCUGGAGUGAAAUGCCGGGGCCCAACCCCGGAACUGCUCUGGAAACUGUGAAGCUGGAGUGGAGGAGAGGUAAGCGGAAUUCGUGGUGUAGCGGUGAAAUGCGUAGAUAUCGGGCGGAACACCGGCGGCGAAGGCGGCUUGCUGGCCCGUAACUGACGUUGAGGCUCGAAGGCGUGGGGAGCGAACAGGAUUAGAUACCCGUGUAGUC